rnacentral:rRNA from 1 species
GAUGAACGCUGGCGGCGUGCCUAAUACAUGCAAGUCGAGCGAACAGACGAGGAGCUUGCUCCUUUGACGUUAGCGGCGGACGGGUGAGUAACACGUAGGUAACCUACCUAUAAGACUGGGAUAACUUCGGGAAACCGGAGCUAAUACCGGAUAAUAUUUCGAACCGCAUGGUUCGAUAGUGAAAGAUGGCUUUGCUAUCACUUAUAGAUGGACCUGCGCCGUAUUAGCUAGUUGGUAAGGUAACGGCUUACCAAGGCAACGAUACGUAGCCGACCUGAGAGGAUGAUCGGCCACACUGGAACUGAGACACGGUCCAGACUCCUACGGGAGGCAGCAGUAGGGAAUCUUCCGCAAUGGGCGAAAGCCUGACGGAGCAACGCCGCGUGAGUGAAGAAGGUCUUCGGAUCGUAAAACUCUGUUAGUAGGGAAGAACAAACGUGUAAGUAACUGUGCACGUCUUGACGGUACCUAAUCAGAAAGCCACGGCUAACUACGUG